AUUAACUUAAAACUUGACUAUUUGUUUUUAUUGUAUUUAAUUUUCCUUAAAAUUAGUUUUUUUUAUCAUUUUUUUAUUAUCUUUAUUUUGUCUCAGUUUUAGACAAGUUUGUGUUUGUUGAGAUUCAGUCAUUCAGGAAGAAACACAAUUCCAGUCGUGGAUCCUGACUGCAGAUCCAGAUUUCCGGUGAAGCGGGAUUCAGGAGCGCCUUCUUUGAGAUCUACAACCCCCCAAGGCGCUUCACAACACAACCAGUCACAUUCACACCCCGGUGGUGAUGAGCUACAUCGUAGCCACAGCCUCCCUGGGCUACCACCAGUCCCUCCGACCACCACCAGCAGGCCAGCUGCUAAAUCAGUUACUGCAGAGACCACCUACCGAGACGAUCAUCAGAUACAGAAGCCACGGGACCACCAGAGGUAAUACUAACGUGAGUCUGGAACGGCCAUCAGCAAAUUCUCUUAAAGGAACAUUUUCAUUAUGGGAUGUAAAUUCAGACCUUCACUGUAGUAAAUUAUAUUUAUCUCUCUUAAUUUGGCCACAGAACAGAGUUUUAACAACUGUAAACUAGUAACAGCCGUGGUUCAUAUGGGUCUGACAGCUGGCCCGACAGCGCCCCCUUCUGCCUGCUGCAGCCAGGAAAACCAUCUUUUCUAAACGCCUCAAGAUAAAAACCACAAGCUGCUUCACAAAAACAAAACUUUUAAAUAUAGAAAAGAUUAAAAAAAACGGAUAAAAAUGUGUUUCAAAUGAAAGCAAAAAUUGUGACUAAAUGUAAGGAAAUGAGAGAGGAAGUGAAAUCAGUGGAUCCCAGGAAAGGUUGAGCUGAAAGAGCAGAACCAGGAGAGGGUGGUGAAGGUCCCACCAGAGCCUGAGCAGGUGAGUUUAAAGGAGACCACUGAGUCCACUGAUCUCAGGCUCAGGGGGAGAGAGCUCCAGAGUCUGGGGGCCACAGCAGCACAACAUGAGGGGGAGAACUUCAUAAACAUGUUUUUUAUCACCUUUAGAACUAUUAUAAGAUAAGAUUAAAGGUCUUUUUAUGCCCCCAUAACCCUCCUGGGAAGGGUUGAGCAGGGUUGACGGGUUAUGUCUUGGGUCCACGUGGCUGGGGUGAGGUGGUGCUCGCUCCUCUAAAACACCUGGUACCAUGUGACCUCGUUAGGAACGUGGAUGGACGACAGAAAACUCGGAUUAGAAGUGAAAUAUUUUCACUGCAAAAUGGUCAUAAUGUGUCCUCUUUAAUCAUCCUCAUCUCUACAAAUGGGUGACCUCUGACCUUUUAGAUCUCAGAUGGAGAGUUGUUUAGAAGUCAUAAUUUUUAGCUACCAAAAUAAAAUCUUCAAAACAAAACCUGAAUUAUUUGGGGAAACUAAAUAUUUAGACAGAAGUCCUGAAACAGCAGGACCGCCUCCGACAUCUUGUAAUAAAUAAUCUUUAUGUUGGAGAAGUUCUGGCGAGACAUCGCCACCUGGUGGCUGAAAAGGCCCACUACAGAAAACAUGUCAACAUUUCCAGGUUUUUACACCAAAGAUCUAAAUAUUUUAACUCCCAGGAACCAAACUUUACAUCGAAACCUGUUUAAUUCUGUUUAACUGAAAAUGUU